UGUGUGUGUAAAUGUAAAGAGGAAACAUGCCAACACACACCCACACAAGCUCACAUGCAAAGGAAAUGGAGUGGUCCUCUCCCUAGCCUAUAAAUACAUCCACCCUUCACCAUAACAAGGGAAGAAAACCAAAGAGAACACAAUCCACCCAUCCACCCUUCACCAUAACCCACCUAUAUCCAUCCACCACCAUAAUUUACCACUCAUCCAUCAAACCACACCUUGUGCCGCUACAAAGAGAAGAAGAAGGAUCUUGGACGUGCUUGCCAUUCAAAUUGGAUUGUUGGAGCGUUUUUAGGUGUUUUCUUUCUUUUGUUUUCAAUGUUUAAAUUUGUUUAUCUUUGCUUUGUAAGUAUGAGUGGCUAAACCCCUAUUUAGUUAGGGGGAAGUUUGAAGCCAUGAACAUGCUUGAGAUUUAAAUUGAUUUCUUCCAAUUGUGAUUUGAUAAGUUGUGAUUGCAAUUCAAUUAUCUAUUUUAUUCAUAACUAAUUCUUGUAUGUUUAUUAAGGAUGCAUACUUAGUUUUCAUGCAUGAAUUAGAUGCUAGAAUAUAAAUGAGUUUCACCUAAUCGUUACAAAUUUAUAUUCAUAAGUAGUGAAGGUUGUUUAUCACAAUCGCGUUAAUUGAAUUCUUGGCAUAAGUUUCAUGCAAUUCAUAGUUACAAGUGUUUCGUCAAUGCUUAUGAUUUUUAUAGAACUUAAUGAUUCUUGCUUGUAUCUCUAUUAUGCAAUUCAUGUAGGGAACUUGUGGGGAAUGCUUUGGGUUGUUGUAUGCAAUCAUCCAAUUCAAUGAAAUUAGGAAAAUCUGAGGAUUAAUUUAAGCGUACCUAAUUAAUCUGGGGUGUUGAGCAUCAUAGUUUAUUGAAAAGCAAUUGGAAAUCAAUUCAUAUACAAGUGUGUCAUGUGUGAAGAACGGACCUCUAACUAAUCCAUCCAUCAUCUUAUUUCUUAAAUUUGUUUUACAAUCUUCCUAGUUUUAUAACUUGUUUGUUUGUUUCAAAUUCAUCAAAACUAAAAUCCCCCUUUUACUUUCUUGUUUCAAAGUGUUUAAAAUUUGUUUGUUUGUGUUUUAGAGUGUUUUGAGUCAAGUCAAAACCCAAAUUUCGUCCAAAGUUGUGUUAGAGUCAGAAACUGCCUAGUUUGUGUUUUUAGGCAGUUUUGAGUGUCUUUAAGUUAUUUUGAGUCUUGUGAACCUGUUUUGAGUUCUUUAAGUCUAUUCAAAUGUUUUUAACUUUGUUUUUAUGUUUUUGAGUUAGUUUAGAGGUUUUAGCAAGCCCUCCUAAUCCCCGGUUUAGAACGAUCCCUACUUACAUCUAUACUACAAUUGUCAAAAAGAGGGUUUAAUUUGUGUGCUUAUAUAUUUCGCAUCAAAUUUUGGCGCCGUUGCCGGGGAUUAGCAAACUUUGCUAAUCCCUUGGUUCUUUUCUUUUUGUUUAGUUUGUUUUUGUUUUAGUUUCUGACUUAGUUUGUUUUCCUUGUUUUGUGUUACUUUUGAUAUUUGAUUUAUUUUUCUUUCUUUGAUUUUAGGUACAAAUGGAGCGAGACAUGGCACUUGCGACCAUUCAAGCUCAAUUGGCACAGCUCACUGCUUAAUUGACUCAUAAUGCCGAACGGACCACAAUGCCAAGUGUCCCUACAUUUGAUGUGCCCUAUGGGCAAGGUUAUCAAAGUCCUCAAUUUUAUGCAAAUGAAGAUGUUUGGGGAUAUCAAGGCCAUAACCAAUCAAGGGGCAACAUAUUUUCCAACGCUUACAAUUCAGAUUGGAGAGGUAAUUCAGAUUAUAUGUGGGAUGAACCUCAACAAUUUCAACAAGGUGGAUAUUGGCAGCAAGACGAGUUCUAUUCAAGACCUAUGCAGCCACCACAACAUCCCCCACAACAAUUCCAAUCAAAUCAAAGUAUGCCCGUGAAUUAUAAUGAAAUUCUUGAAGGACUAAUUUCUGUGGCGCAGGGUUUACGAAAAGAAGAACAAUUGCCGCCAUCGGAAGAGUUCUAUCAGUGGUCAUAUGAACCGUCACAGCCACCACAACAAUCAACCCAAUUCAAUUCAGGUACAUCCUUGGAUAAUGAUACACUUAAUAAGUUACUCACCUCUUUGAAUCAGGGAGUAGAAAAUCAAAACCAGGAGAUGCAAGACCGAGUCAAAAGAGUGGACGAAUUGGAAAUGCAAGUUGGGCAGAUUGUGGAAUUCAUGGCACAGAUUCAAGAUCAAAGUGAAUUUUCUAACUCAAACAUUGCAAAUUCAAAGGCAGAAAGUGAGAUCGAUGAAGCCACCACCUUGGAAGGUGACAUGAAGGAUGAAGCUGUCCCAGAACCAUCCAAACACAGCCCAAACAUGGAUGAAUUGCUGUUGCAAGCAGAAGAGGAGGAGGACGACCUGGGCAGUUUAGAAGAAUUCUUGCUGCAAACUCCUCAAAUCCCUAUGUCAUCUACCUCAGGUGAGGAAACUCUAAAUUCACUUCAUUCUAACAUUAUUCCACCGAAUGUCCUUUUUCCUUGCAGGUUUUUUAUUCCAAAUAUCAAAGAGAGUGAAAAAGACAUUGUGGAAGCUCUUCCAAAGGUGCAAAGUGAUAUCCCAAUUCUUGGUGCACCAAAACAAGUUCCCGAUGGUAUUGAAAUGUUCAAAGAACCUUGCACACCAAGAAAAGGGAUUCAAGAAAAUGAAGUGGUUGAAGCAUAUCAAGAAUACAUCCAAGAGGCUGUGCAUGAGACAAUCAAGCCCAGAGCAGUUGAGUUUGAUGACACGGGACAAGCCACAACCAUCAUAGUAAACCUGGCCAAGUUCAAAGUCCCGGAAAUGUUCAAAAAAUGUGGUGUUUGUCAUUGAGUUUUGUGUCGGAAAAAAAAGAAAGUAAGCCAUCUUCUCCAAUUUUAAUUUUUAUUUAUACUAACAUUUUUUCUGAUUUUGAUGAUUCAGGCACCCCACUCUUGAAUUUAAACCAUUGCCGAAUCAUUUCAAGUAUCACCUCCCAUUAAAAGAUAAAUUCCAUGCUUUGGAGCCGAGGGGAGUUUAAAGGAAAGUUUCGUCCGGCUAAAGACGUUAAAUCAAGCGCUUCUUGGGAGGCAACCCAAGCAUUCAACGAAGGGAGACUUUGGAAUCGCUAACCAAAUCAGAUUUGAAUUCUUACACCCUUAUCUUUACUGCUUUCAUUUUGUUUUGUUUAGUUAGUUGUGUUAUUUGGUUGAUUUCUGUGAGUUUGUGUUAUUUAGUUUAAGUGUGGGGGAAGGUUAACCAAAGUCUUUUUACAUUAAUUUACAUAUUUAAAAAUAAUAAUAAUAAUAAUAAUAAUAAUAAUAAUACAUAAAAUAAAAAAUAAAAAAAGUAAAAAAAAGUACAAAUAUUUUACAAUGAUGUAAACUAAUAGUAUUCAUUGGUCGGGUGGUGCUUCAGUAGUAGGCGGGGCUUCAGCAGUCGGCGGGGCCACAGAAGGAGGAGGCGGCAGAGGUUGAUCAGUUGGAGCUUCACUACGCGGUGCCGCUCCAGAAGACGAAGGCAGAUGUUGUUGGAACAAACCCACAAACCUCCGAUGAUCAAGUAAAAUUUGAUCAUCGGUGUCCUGCAUCUGGUCAAUCUUCCUCUUCAUGCUGGUGGCAUAGCUGUGUGCGAGCUUGUGCAAUUGUUUAUUUUCAUGCUUGAGUCCUUUAAUCUCCUCUUUGAGACUCUGUAUUUCAGCCACCAACGAUUCAACAUGACGGGUUCGGGCAAAUAGGCGUUGGGCCAUGUUGGACACGGAACCGGCACACUGCACGCUAAGAGCCAGAGACUCCUUAACCGCCAAUUCAUCAGAUCGUCUAGCGAGCAGUAUGUUAUCUCUGGGGGUGACAAGGUUUCGGGCCACCACCGCAGCGGUCAUGUCAUUUUUCAUCACCGAAUCCCCACGGUAAGGGACCGGUAGGGGAUAUGAAGGAUGGGCGCCAUAUGUUGUCUGGUGAAGGCGGGGCUACCUCUUCACCACGGUUCAAGUCAAAACGGCGAUCGGAAGGGCCAGACAUUUUCUGAAAGUGUUGAGAAAGAAGAGAUCAGACUGAUUAAGAUUUUGGAAGUUUACAGGAGGGAGUGUUUACAAGAGGGAACUCAAGUGUGUUGUGGAACAAAAUUAACACCUCUAUAAAAAGAAGAAAUCAAAGAGGCGCUCCUCAGAGAAGCGUCCUCUCGCAAAUCGAAGAGUCGGGGCUCCUUUCUCAAAAGCCGGAUUCUUUUCUCAAAAGAGGCGUUUCAUUUCUUAAAGGCUGGACUUGCUCAGAAACCACGAGCCGAACCCCGGAUUUCAAAAGAUCAAUUGGUCCUGACGUGUCGUCACUUGUCACACGCAAAUUGCUUUGCGAAAUUCUCGGGCAGUUUGUCGAAGCACCAAUUCAGAAAUCGAAGAGGGAAAUUCAACAGUCAAAGACACGCUAGCUUUCUCAAAAGCUGGGCUUCAACCCACGGGCAAAUCUUCUUUUCCAGAUUUAUCCGCACGUGUCACAUGCUACCUCUACAAUCGACGAUGCUCAGAGCUCGAAGCGCCGAUUCCAGAUAUCAAUGAGGAAUCUGCUUUGCGGAAAUUACGGGCAGCUUUGUCAGAAAGCGCGUAAUUUGUACUAUUCAUCCAUCCACCGGCUGCCGACAAUGAGUGAGAGAAUAGUUCCGGUUGUGAAGAAAAGUCCUAUAAGUAUUUACCUUCGCCUUCCACAGCAAAGGCACACCCUCUCAGCACUUUUUCAUCUCCGAGAAUGCAUUCCUAAAGAACCCUCUCGAGUCACACUGUAUUCCUCAUUCCCUGGGAUACUGCAAACAGCUCAUCCAGAGCAAAAGUAUUUCAUAUCAUAAAGGUUGAAAGCAAGAGUAUCUCAUAUCAUGCAUUCUCCAUGUCCUUUUCCUUGUCUUUGUUCUAACCUGCAGGACAUGGAGAAAUUGCUCUCGAGUACUCGUCUUCCACUGCUGAUGUACUUCCAAAGAAGCUGCCACAUCUACCUGAAGAACAGAUAAGGCAAGCGAAAAUGAUACCAACAGCAUGUGGAGACAACGUACAGAAGAAACAAGCAGAGAAGAAUGCAGCUUGCACAAUCAUCCCAGCGGAAGGAGUCCGAGCUGAGGAACUAGAGAAGCUGCCACAUCUGCUUGGAGAACAAAUAAGGAACUGCAACAUCACCAAAGAGCAAAGCUUCGCCGUACAAUAUCAUCAAAUCAUCACUUGCAAGUAAAAAAGCUAAGUGUCACCCCGUUCAAGAGGAAAGCUGUGGAAAGUCAACAAGCACGAUCAAUGAUCACUUAUUAGUUCUAUUCAUUGUCUUUUAUCGUGAUUUUCAAUUUUUCGUUUGCAAUUUUUUUUACAUUUUCUUGCGUUACUUAACUGAAUUAUUUCUUUUCUUUGCAGGAAUUUUUGGUUAUUUCCACCCUUGAAGUUGAUUGCAGAAUUUUAGCUUGGGGGGGGUCAUCGCUUGGUUUUACUGCAAACUAGGGAAGUUUUCAGUCCAAUUGCUUUAUUUUGUUUCUUAUUAUUUAUUUAUUUAUUUUUUUUUUGUUGUUGCAUUAUAGUGUUUUCUGACAUUGGGGACAAUGUCCAGUUUAAGUUUGGGGGUAAAGAGUAUAAAAAUGACCAAAUUGAAAUUUUUUUUUUGUACCUUCAACUACGAACGAGUUUCAUUUGUUUCCAUGUUGUUGCUUUUUGUUUUCUUAAUUAGUUUUGUUUUCUUUUAAAAAAAAUAAAAUAAAAUUUAAAAAAAAAUCGGAAAAUUUAAAAAAUCCAAAAAUAUUGUCUUGUUUCCCUUAUUGUUAUGAAUUAGAUUUUUGUUAGUUUCCCGACCCAAUGAUAUAAUUUGAUCAAAUUUGAAACCAUGAUCAUCAAGAACUUAGUUAACAUGUGUUUUGUGAAAUUCUUAAUUCUCUUGUUAGUUUUGUACAUGUUUGAUCAUCUUUGAAAAACCAAAUGCACAUAGCCUUGUUAAUGUGAAACUAAAGUAUGACUUAAAGCUUCAUAUGCGAAUUUAGUGACCAUAUACAUCCUAUGUGAGUUUUUGAGCCGAUUGAAAGUGUGUGCAUUUUUCAUACACUCCUAUUCUUUCAUGUGUGAUGAACUUAUGUGAGAUACAUCUCUAGAACUUGCGUAACGAUCUUUCAAAAUGUUUGUCAUUGAUUGCAUGAACUUGGAAAUGAUAGAGGCAUUAGGUUUACCACUAUGGCCCAAAUAACCAUGUUUCCCAAAUAAAAAUGAUAUCAUUAGAUUGCCAAUUUGAGCCGUGUAUGUUGAGCCUUUUAUUUCUUAUCACCAGAUAUGUCUACCCUUAUACCUGAAAUUUUUUUUCCUUACCCUUUCCAAGCGAGCAAUGCGAGAUUGUCUUAUGAGAAACGUUUGUGAAGUACUUUGAAGGUGUUUGGCAAAAGAAUAAGUGUGGGGUAUUUCAUAUUUGUAAAAAAAAAAAAAAAAAAAAACAGAAAAGAGAAGAAAAGAAAAAGAAAAAGAAAGAUUGUAUACAAAUGAAAUAAAAAGUUUUUAAAGUUUCAGUUUAAGGUUGUGGUUGGAGGUGCUAGAAGAAUUGCUGGAGAGCUUGAGUUCUUAUAAAUCUAAAGAAAAGAAUUGCUUGCAAUGUAGCUUGGAACUUGUGUUUUCCUAUUCUAUCGUUUCAAUAACCAUAUCCCUAAACCUCAUUACAUCCAAUAAAAGUCCUCUUGAUUUAAGUUUUGCAAUUAUGACUGUGGAGAAGUGAUCUUUAUGCAAGCUUAUGGUAGAAAUUUCACAUUUGAAUUUUUGAGCGAAACACAUUAAAACUAAACACAUGUGUGAUUGAGUGCAUAUCCCGUGAGAAGGUCGCUAGUUUGCAUAUGAUGAUUUUAAAAAUAUAAACUUGAAAUUGCAUUAGCAUGGCUAUAUCACACACUACACUUCAAGGAUGAUUUAAAGAUUACUGCUAAUAUUUGAAUAAGGAAGAUGAACUUGGAUUAGCUUGUUUGAUGCUAGCUAUGGUUCUUGUUGAUUUGUGUUCUCGAAUGAAAUUCUAUGAGGGUCACAUAGGGGGAAGCUAAUGUUUUUCUUGUUACUUCUUGUUCUUGUUUUCUUUGUUUUGCUCGAGGACUAGCAAAAGUUAAGUGUGGGGGUAUUUGAUCAGAUCAUAUUUAUAUAUAUUUUUACUUCAAAUUCACUCGUCUUUUCUUAGUUAGUUCCUUACAUUUUUGAGCUAUUUACUAUGUUUUUGUAUUUUGUGUGAUUUAUCAAGCAAAGAAAAGAAAAGUAGCACAAGUGAAUUAUUAAGUAACAAAUUCGUCAAAACUGCCUGUGCAGAUUAGCUGACUUUGAAAGCAUGUUACAAACAGCUCAGAAUGAAUUAGAAAAUGAGCCUUAUAUUCGUGGAAAGCUACGGAUGUCUACUUUCUGGAGCAAUUUACGGAUUGUUAAUAUCAUUUUUUCUAGAAGAAGUUAUGGGCAUUGUAACACUGAAAGGUUCAGAAACGUGGACAGCACAUACACAAAGAGAAAGGCAAGGCAUGGAUAGUUUGACAUGGGCAGAAAAAUGGGUGGAUUGUUGGCUGAAAUAAUGAAGAACAUGUGUGUACAAAUGCAAAGGAAAAACACACACACAUGGGCAAAGGAAACACACACACACAUGGGCAUAAAAUGGGUUGAUUUGUGGUUGAAAUGAUGGAGGUCAUGUGUGUGUAAAUGUAAAGGGAAAAACAUGGCAGAAAAUGUGUGUGUGUUUGUGGUUGAAAUGAUGAAGAAUGUGUGUGUGUAAAUGUAAAGAGGAAACAUGCCAAACACACACCCACACAAGCUCACAUGCAAAGGAAAUGGAGUGGUCCUCUCCCUAGCCUAUAAAUACAUCCACCCUUCACCAUAACAAGGGAAGAAAACCAAAGAGAACACAAUCCACCCAUCCACCCUUCACCAUAACCCACCUAUAUCCAUCCACCACCAUAAUUUACCACUCAUCCAUCAAACCACACCUUGUGCCGCUACAAAGAGAAAGAAGAAGGAUCUUGGACGUGCUUGCCAUUCAAAUUGGAUUGUUGGAGCGUUUUUAGGUGUUUUCUUUCUUUUGUUUUCAAUGUUUAAAUUUGUUUAUCUUUGCUUUGUAAGUAUGAGUGGCUAAACCCCUAUUUAGUUAGGGGGAAGUUUGAAGCCAUGAACAUGCUUGAGAUUUAAAUUGAUUUCUU
rnacentral:lncRNA from 1 species